UAUAACAGGCAUACACAAUUUAUCUAUGUAUGAAACAAAAACCUUGAUUCUGCUAUAGAUAAAAUUUCAUGUCAGCUCCAACACACAUGGUCUAAUGCUGACAUAAAGAUGUCUCUUCCAGGGACAUGGAGAGGCUCCAUCCAUUGACUCAUCCCGGGUCAGCAGUGCCAGUUUUUCCUCAUACUCUUUUUUGCCCCAUUUCUUUUUUUUCUUUUUCUGUCCCAGAUUCCCACUUUUUUCAUGCUUGAAAUUUUAGCUCUCCUCAAAGGCUGGGAAGAACUGCAUAUUGUAGGUGGGGUUUGGAGACUUUAGCUCAGCAUGUAGAGCAGGGCUCAAUGACAACUGGGUGCCUUUUUUGGAAAGUGAAAUGAUACAAAGAAGUAGAAUAAACCCUCCCAUGGCAGUCCUUUUUCUGAGGUGCCAGCAGAGGCUGUUGGACCUUCUCCAGAGCCUUUGCACGCAUCCUCUUCUCCUUAGCACCAAAUUUGUGCUAGGAGGUGGUUGUCUGCUGCCAGCUGCGAGCAGCACAAGCACAGCUCUGUGCACAUGGCCAUGGCUCCUGCCCUUCCUUCAGUUAACCUCCCCGAGAGCGAUCCUUUUGAACGUCUUGUGCAGCACCCGGUAAUCCCGCCUUGCCUGGGUGUGGGCAGCCAGCUGCUGCGCCAGGUGAUGGAAGAGAUUGUAUGUCCUACCCAUUCUUACAUCUGGGGGUAAAUUGAUGUCCUGAGGAAACCUCCGGUUACCCACAAUGAAGUGCUGGAGGCAUUUUUGUCGCAAACAUAUAUGCAGGCUGUCCCUGAUAUCCAUCAGUCGCUCCCGGAGAUGUCCCCUGCUCCACGAUGAUGCGGGCAUGGCAACGAGCAGGUGCAUGACAAUGGUCUUCAUGGUAUAGGUGGAGAAGCUGAAGCCCAGAACAAGGCGGGAGAAGAACUGAAGGCAUUUGAGGUGCAAGCUGUCAGGGGGGGCCUGCCUGGCAAUGUACUUGAAGAACUCAGCCUCUGCCACAGCGUAGGACUCAGGCCAGGUUGUGCUUAGUGUGUAGGCCUCUCUAGGCUGGCUGCUCACAAAGAUGGCUGAGUCACCUCUCCGCACCCCGAACAGCAUCUCAAUCCUGAAGCUUUCUUCACCAUUGGUCACUUUGAAUUGGCAGGAGCGUGUGGAGGGCAGCAGCGUUAAAUGCCAGUUGUGUGACUGAGGCAAAGCUGGCCAGAUUGCUUUCACCAGUUGCUGGAACCAGCAGGCAGUUUUCUGCACGUCCAGGUAGGAGUCGGUGCACAGGGUGUCUAGGAGGCUGGGAUCCUGAUUGCUCCUCAGCUCCUCCUUGGGGUUGUGCAGGAAGCACAGCAUGUUCUCACCCUGCUGCUGCCUCGUGCAGGUGCACUCCAGCUGCACGCGGACACGGAAGUUUCUCACAUGCCUCUGCCCCUCACUGUCCAGCUCCAGGUGGAAGCUGUGGCCUCGGGGAGGAGUCAUGGGUAUGAGCACACGGUACACGACAUCCUGCUCACGGGGACUCCAACCUUCAAAGGCACUGCCCACCCCGAUGGGUCGGUGCAGGACUGGGUAGAAACUGUAAGACAAGACAUGCUCAAAGUAAAUUGUAUAAUUGUCCAUCAGGUCAGUUAUCCACUCACAGACUCUCUGCAGGUCCUGUGCAGGCCACUGUAUGCGCUCCAUUAUAUCUUGUCCAACACAAUCGUCAACAUUGUUGUCUUCUUCUUGGACUACAUUUGCAACAUCAUUGUCAUUGUUCUUUUCUGCAAGUGCAGCCCCAUUGACAACAUCAUUUCCAUCAUUGUCAUCUUCAUUUCCAGCAACAUUGCCAACUUCCUCUUCAUUUGCACCAUGGUUUUCUUCUUCAUUCUCCUCUCUCCUCAGGCUGCUUUCCCACCCAAUAAUCCACAGGACCAAGACCAGGGCCAGGAGUACAGCAACAGCUAAGAGCUGCAAGUGUGGCAUCUUCUUCUGGGAGAGCUGCUCCACCUCCUGCUCCAGCCGAAGCCUCUCCCAUUCCAAGUACUUUGCGCGCGCUUCCAUGCGCCAAUGUGUUUCCUCAUCCAAACCAUCAGCCACGGGCGGUGGGUACUGGAUGAGACCUUGCAAGAGCGCAAACAGGAACACGACUGGAUCCAUGG
rnacentral:lncRNA from 1 species